rnacentral:snRNA from 1 species
AUACUUACUUGGUGGAGACUGGCCAAGAAGGUGAUAUCCCCAGGGUAAUGCUCAUUCACUGUACUUGGGAUGUACCAAUCCUUCUAAUUUCUCCAAAUUUGGGAAACUUGACUGUAUAAUUUGUGGUAGUGGAGGAGUGCACUUUCA